GUCAACGCCCUUGCCGCGUUGAAUGCACUCGUUCCCGUUAGAUCACGAAAGUUAAGCAGCGCCGGGCACGGAUAGUACUUGUGAUCUGCGAUACGCAAGUGAGUAAUAAGUUCUCGAGAUAGUCC
rnacentral:rRNA from 13 species